UGAACUCCUGAACCCUGCCCCAAGGCCUGUGUUACUCCCCAGCAGCAGCCCAGCCCUUCUCCCCAGUCAUCCAAGUGGGUACCUCUCUGAAAAUCCUUGGAAAGGGGAUCCAGGACAUGAGGGGACCCUGUCCCAUGGGGUCCCCUGCUCUCCAACACACAGGUAGUCCCAGUGCUAGCAUUGGUCUAGGUAAGGGUCACCUCUGCCUUUGUGCAGUGGUGUGAUCUCAGCUCAUUGGAGCUCCGCCUCCUGGGCUGAGGCAGGAGAAUCGCUUGAACUGAGAGGCGGAGGUUGCAGUGAGCCGAGAUCGCACCACUGCACUCCAGCCUGGGCAACAAGAAGGAAACUCUGUCUCA
ensembl:lncRNA HM13-IT1 HM13 intronic transcript 1